UCCCUGGUGGCUUAGAUGGUAAAGAAUCCGCCUUCAAUGCAGGAGACCUGGGUUCAAUCCCUGGAUUGGGAA
rfam:Ovis aries breed Texel chromosome 4, whole genome shotgun sequence.